GACGAACGCUGGCGGCGUGCUUAACACAUGCAAGUCGAACGAAGUGGCGAACGGGUGAGUAACGCGUAAUCAAGCUGCCCUUCAGUGGGGGACAACAGUUGGAAAUGAUUGCUAAUACCUCAUACUGAAGUAGGGGAUUUCGUCGGAUUAGCUUGUUGGGGGGGUAACGGCCCACCAAGGCGAUGAUCAGUAGCCGGUUCGGAGGGAUGGAUGGCGCAAAUGGGAACGGGGACCGGGCCAGACUCCAAAGGGGGGGAGCAGUGGGGGAAUUUUCGACAAGGGGGGAAAUCUGACGGAGCCACGGCGCGUGAGGGGUGACGGCCUUUGGGUUGUAAAGCUCUGUUAAUCGGGGCGCGGUACCGGAAUAGAAAGCAACGGCUAACUACGUGCCAGCAGCCGCGGUAAUUC
rnacentral:rRNA from 1 species